GUAUACCAUCUCAGCUAUUUUGCUUCUUGUUAUCAUAGUCUUGAAUGAUGCUGUGAGUCAGAGAUUUCAGCAGAAACUUGUCCACAUAGUAGAGCAUUUGAACCAGAUAAGAAAUUUCUGCCAUGAAUUUAGCCUUUAAGAAGCUGCACCUUUUGAGGUUUAUCAAAGUCUUGCCUUAGAUGUUUUGAAAUAGGGAUAGCAGUGCAGUUUUGGCAAGUGUUUGGGUUACAGAGCUGCUUAGAGAGAGAUCCCCUUGUGCAGGUCAACGAGCUAAUAGUCACUUAGUUACAGAAUUUCUGUCCAGAAUGUGAUCCGUCUCUUAUGUUUUUCAGGGAUAUCCAUAACUUUGAGUUCUGCUUUAUGAAGGAGGGAAGGGGCCUAACAACUCUUCUGAAAGGGUGAGUCCGAAACCAUUAGCUAGGAUG
rnacentral:lncRNA from 1 species